rnacentral:rRNA from 1 species
GAUGAACGCUGGCGGCGUGCUUAACACAUGCAAGUCGAACGGGAAACCUUUUAUUGAAGCUUCGGCAGAUUUAGCUGGCUUCUAGUGGCGGACGGGCGCGUAACGCGUGGGUAACCUGCCUUAUACAGGGGGAUAACAGUCAGAAAUGGCUGCUAAUACCGCAUAAGCGCACAAAGCUGCAUGGCUCAGUGCGCAAAACUCCGGUGGUAUAAGCUGGACCGGCGUUGGAUUAGCUGGUUGGUGGGGUAACGGCCCACCAAGGCGACGAUCCAUAGCCGGCCUGAGGGGGUGAACGGCCACAUUGGGACUGAGACACGGCCCAGAAUCCUGCGGGAGGCAGCAGUAGGGAAUAUUGCACAAUGGGGGAAAGCCUGAUGCAGCGACGCCGCGUGAAGGAAGAAGUAUCUCGGGAUGUAAACUUCUAUCAGCAGGGAAGAUAAUGACGGUACCUUAGUAAGAAGCCCCGGCUAACUACGUG